GUGCUAUAUUAUUAUAAUUUAAUAAAUAACCUAUAACGGGUUGGCAAUGAGGAGAAGAGGAUUAGGACAACAUGUGAUUCUUUUUCUUGAGUUCUGACUUCAGACAAAAAAAAAAAACUUCUCAGUUCAUUGUUUGCCUCUUCAAAAGUAUCUGGUCAGCCAUCUUGGAGCUCAUUGGCCUACGCUGUAUAAGAAGCAUUUCUAUUGGACGGUAUAUUGCGUUGAGGAACUGGAGGUGAUGAGCUUCAGGAGGGAGGGGUUGGAGGCCAAUGCUGCUCUUUUUGUCCCCCUGUGAAAUACAAACACAGAGACUUGGAUUUUGCUUUUCAUAAACUGUUUGUGAUGAAUGAUGAAUGAGUGAGGGACACUUACCUAAGCUGCCUGACCUUCCCCUUCACCCAGGGCUCAUUAUGUUUGCAGCAGUACAAACGACCACU